AGAACGAACGCUGGCGGCAUGCCUAAUACAUGCAAGUCGAACGAACUCUUCGGAGUUAGUGGCGCACGGGUGCGUAACGCGUGGGAAUCUGCCCCUUGGUUCGGAAUAACAGUUGGAAACGACUGCUAAUACCGGAUGAUGACGAAAGUCCAAAGAUUUAUCGCCAAGGGAUGAGCCCGCGUAGGAUUAGCUAGUUGGUGAGGUAAAGGCUCACCAAGGCAACGAUCCUUAGCUGGUCUGAGAGGAUGAUCAGCCACACCGGAACUGAGACACGGUCCGGACUCCUACGGGAGCAGCAGUGGGGAAUAGUUGGACAAGUGGGCGCAAGGCCUGAUCCAGCAAUGCCGCGUGUGUGAAGAGGCCGUUCGGUUAGUAAGCUACGUUUAAGUUAGGGAAAG
rnacentral:rRNA from 1 species